rnacentral:tRNA from 1 species
CGGCGGCUGAAGGAGCCCUUUGUCUUGCGUGCGUUACUUCUGCGCGGUGCGGGCAGGUGCCGCAGCCGGCGUCGCCGCC